rnacentral:rRNA from 1 species
AUUGAACGCUGGCGGCAGGCCUAACACAUGCAAGUCGAGCGGAUGAAGGGAGCUUGCUCCUGGAUUCAGCGGCGGACGGGUGAGUAAUGCCUAGGAAUCUGCCUGGUAGUGGGGGAUAACGUCCGGAAACGGGCGCUAAUACCGCAUACGUCCUGAGGGAGAAAGUGGGGGAUCUUCGGACCUCACGCUAUCAGAUGAGCCUAGGUCGGAUUAGCUAGUUGGUGGGGUAAAGGCCUACCAAGGCGACGAUCCGUAACUGGUCUGAGAGGAUGAUCAGUCACACUGGAACUGAGACACGGUCCAGACUCCUACGGGAGGCAGCAGUGGGGAAUAUUGGACAAUGGGCGAAAGCCUGAUCCAGCCAUGCCGCGUGUGUGAAGAAGGUCUUCGGAUUGUAAAGCACUUUAAGUUGGGAGGAAGGGCAGUAAGUUAAUACCUUGCUGUUUUGACGUUACUAACAGAAUAAGCACCGGCUAACCUCGUG